UUUUUAUUACUUUCUCUGAAGAAAGCACCACACUGAGCUUUGCUUUACUGUUUUAUUAAUUAAAGCAUAAACGCUCCAAGAGGGAGGUCUUCUUAUACCAGUUCAGCAAAUUUAUCUCAAAUUAUGCUCAGGGAAUAGUAAUACCUUAAGCAGGAAGAGACUUGGGGCAAGCAGAUAAUGUUGAAGAAGGAAGAGAAAAGAAGGAAGAGAAGAAGGAGGAAGAGGAAGAAAACAGAAGAAGAGGAAGAGGAGGAGGAGGGAGGCAGAAGAUGAAGAGAGAAGGGAGAGAGGAAGGAAGGGUCCCCUGUGGCCAGUCCUCCUCCGCUCACUUCUUCCUCCCGCCGAGAACUUGCCCAGGCCACACUAGCGGCCUCAGCUUCCACCAUUCUGCAAAGGCUGAGCUGGCUUUGAAUCACCGGCAAGUUUCAGCUUUCCACGCGUAAAGCGAGCUCCCCAAACUCUGCUAUGACUACGCUGCUUUCCGCACCGUGAAGGAAAUGAUCUUUUAAAAGGUUUAAUAAGGAGAGGGGAAAACAGUCUCCUCCGGCCUUUCCAGAAGACAGGGGCCAUGUCCCCAAACAGCCUGCUGGCUCUCAACCUCCAAGACUUGCUGAUUGUGCCAGGGAAGGAAAUAUGCCUGUAAUUGCUCAUCCGGGUAAUAUUUAAAUUAAAGACUGGAUUUCAAGCUCAAUUUAAGCACUACAUUUGGAUGAUUUUAAGAAGGAAAUUUUGCCUGUGAAAAUGCUGCUUGCUUUACAGAAAGACCCAAUGACAUGCUCUGACAACUUCUACAGUGGGUGGAAAGCGGUUGCGUAUUUCUGAAUGAAGAUGUGUAGAGUUCAGCCCUCCGUGUAGCUGACAAACCUCAGAGUUGGUAGGUGGUCAUGGAACUGUGCCCCAGCACGGGAAGGAAAGAAGGUGUGGAGCUGACAGGCCCCAGGACAGGAUCUUUCAGCACCAGACUUGGAGCCUCCAGCCUGUGGAGCCUCGCUGCGCCCUCGGGGGUGGGCAGCACCUGCGUCCCAGAAGGUGGGCUCCCUGUCAGGGAGUCCUCUUGGCAGCCAGCGCAAGGCCGGGUGUUUCCAAGCAUAACCUUCCGGGAGCAGAUCAGUUAUGUCCUGUCUGCAUAGCGGUGCGAUUGGCAGCCGGCCUCUGCAGAUCUGGGCCGAUACUCUGCUGGGGCCCGAAAGCAGCCUUUCUCCGCCGACCCGCACAUCUGGUGGGGGUUCCAGCAUCUGUGCACUUCACUCUCCGCUCGCCAACAGCCGCUGAGAAAAAAGCUAUUCGCUUGGGAUUGCUCAUUAGUUGACAAAACAAAUGUUUUGUUUUCUACUGUGAGCUGAGGCCAAUGCCUAGCUAGAAAUUUGUGUUUUAAAACUUUGCAUCUGAGUGUUUUCUUCUAAAUGAUUCAGUGGAAAGAGCGCUGUUUAGAACCCCAGCAGCUGGAGGAGAAAGGCCAGUGCUCUGAUCUGGGGAGAUAAAAGACUGAAGAGCAGAUUACUUGGCCAAAGUGUUUUCCCGAUAGGUAAGUGUUUAGGCACUCUCGCCCUUCAUAAAUCCUUCCCGUGUGUCUGCGGAGCAAGACGGAAAGCACAGGCCUCACUCCCAGGGAAGACCAGGAACUGUGAAUAGAGUGGGUGUGUACAAGCCUCCAGUUGGCCCCCUGAGAAAAGUCAUCCUGCUGGGCUCACAGGGGCAUUAGGGCAGAGCAGAGCUUUUAAAUGACCCCCAUUGGGCUCAGUGAAACACCAGUGUCGGUUGUUUAGAGCGAUACAAGUGGCCCCAUUGGGAGCCAGUGAAGUCUGAGAAGCAGGGUGCUGUUUAGCUUUCUGGUGUUCCAUCCCCUGGGCGUAGGGACUAGCAUCCCCCUCCUUACAGUCAUCUUGGGUGCUCCACAGGUCCCACCACCUUCCCACCAUGUCACACACAGCCCCAUGGCCCAGCUCAGACCCCCUUCUGCAGAUGCUGUGGCUCCAGGGUUGACACUGCAUGUCUUCACCCCUCGUAGCUCUAGAGUUCCCUCUGCGGCAGGACUGUGUGCUGUGUCUCCUGUCCUGCUUUUUCUCUGCAUCUGUAAGUGAGGGUUAGGACCCACUUUUUGCUCUUGCUCGAAUAGAUGAAUUAAUAUACAAAUAUAAGUAUUCAUCUGGUCAUGGUAAGGUAGAAGGAUUAUAGAUCCCGGUAGUGUACUAUAUAUUUCAAAAAGUUACAAGAAAGGAUUCUGACUGUCUUCACCACAGAGAAGUGACAGAUGUUCAAAGAAGUAGACAUGUUACCCUGACUUGAACUUGACAGGAGGUAUGCAUGUGUGGCUCACGUGGCACCCCAGAACUGCAACCCUGACAAAUGUGCAGUUUGUAUGAUUAUGCGUCACAGCUGAAUUUGAACUAAAGGGAAACUACCUUGCUUAUCACUAGUUUAGUCCCAUCAAGGAUGUGUUUGGUCUGUGCCUGAGUCGCCUGUGCCGGUAGAGGCCAGGGGUAUCACCAUGAGGCAGCCCUGCUGCCAGUGGUGAUAUCUCUUUGAGGAUGUGCCCUCUGCGCUCCUGUAGCAGGAAGGGGCCUUUCUUACUCUUUCCUAACCCACUGGCCUUGUCCUGGUCCUGUGGGAGGCUUUGGAUCCGGGAAGGAAAAUGGAUUGAAAAGGAACUGGCUCCUGAGAAGUGGGCGCUGGAAGGGUAGUGUAGCUUCAGCUCAAGGGCUUUGCUGUGGGGCCGCCUAAGGCGUCUGCACCGACGAGGCUGGCUUGGGAGCAGGGAGCACUUAGGCAGAGAGUCUCGAGCUUAAUGUAAACAUGAUUUGAUCCAGGAAAAAAAUUAACUCAUGCUGGGGGCCAAAGCCUGGCCUCUGACUGUCUAUAAAACUGGCUCUUCAGCAUCUGUGCCCACAGCCCCUCCUCACCAGCCUGGAGUUUGUCUGGAGGACCUCACUGAAAACAGGUUAAAGAGUUGCUCUAAAUCAGUCAGUCAACAGGUAUUUCUGUGUUAUUCGUGAGAGCCCAGGGUUGUACACUUAAGUUUUAUUUUUCUAAAACGGAAAAAAAAAAAGGGAAAUCCACAGAGCUGAUUGCCGGGUUGCAGCGAAGUGCACAGCCAGGCGUGCAGCUCCCCUAGCACCCUGUCCUCUUGGAGCAGAGCUGUGAGCUAUUCCCUGGGCACUGACUUUGGCAUGCAAGCCUCAUUUGCCGAGGUACAGUAAAGCAGGCUGCUAAUUUAGCAAAACCCUCACCAAAGCUCUCAGCACAGAAUGGCUGUGUGGAGCCCAGAGGAAAAGCAACAUUUCUCUGGGCCAUGGCCGCUGGGGUUUGAAAUCCCAGCGGCCAGCAGAGAUUUCUGGAGAGCAAACGACACUAGUUCUGAGAUGCAGGAGGAUAAUCCUGUUAGCACAUGUGUGCAUUCAGCUCCCCUGUAAAAACCUCCUAAUGUUAUUUCAGCUCUGAGAGCUUGUCUCAGAAUAGCUCCCCCACCCCCGGAAAUUCCAGAGGAGGGAAGAAUUCUCUUUGGAAAUCAAAUUGCUGGUCUGCAGGUAUCACGGAGACUUGCUUGCCCUCUCUCCUGUCCUGGUUGUGAGGCAGAACCUGAGACCCUACCCAGCCUUACCUGCACAGCUCUCUGCCGGAUGCUUGUACCCUGACUGUGAACAGCUUCAAGGCUACUUUAAAUCCUGCCAGAUAAAAGGGGUGCAUGCAGUUCUGAAAUCUGUUGAGGUGUUAGAUAACAUCUAAGAAAAUCUGUGGAUUGAAACAGUGAUUAGGUCAAUUCAAAAAUGAUGUAACUUGACAAUUCAAUGACCACUGUUGACAGUUUGACAAAAUAUACAGAAAUAUAGCACA